AAAGAAGUGUGAUAGAAGGGAUGGUAUGAACCAAAGAAUAUUGUUUUGAGCUCCAACAAGGGUGAAAAGAUGAACCCAAGAGUAAGGUGGCUAUUACCAAUACGCGGACCAGCAGGCCGCCACUAUAAGGUAAAGCCAAAAAGGCGAAGAAAUAGGUGUUUGGGCACAGUCGCAAACAUUUCUUGGUUCACAAGGUGACGCAAGGAGGAUCACAAAGAGGUAGUGUGUUUGGCUCAAAG
rnacentral:lncRNA from 1 species